GAUGAACGCUGGCGGCGUGCCUAAUACAUGCAAGUCGAGCGGACGGACGAGAAGCUUGUGUCUUUGAUGUUAGCGGCGGACGGGUGUGUAACAUGUGGAUCACCUACUUAUCAGACUGGGAUAAUUUCGGGACACCGGAGCUAAUACCGGAUGAUAUUUUGCACCGCAGGGUUCAAAAGUGAAAUACGGUCUUGGUGGCUGUUCUAGCUGGAUCCGAGCUGCAUUAGCUAGUUGGUAAGGUAACGGCUUACCAAGGCAAGGAGGCGUAGCCGACCGGAGGGGCGGAUCGCCCGCCCUGGAACUUAGACGCGGUCCAGGCUCCUACGGUAGGCCGCAGUAUGCAACCUGCCGCAAUGGGCGAAAGCCUGACGGAGCAACGCCGCGUGAGUUAUGAAGGUCUUCGGAUCGUAAUGCCCUCUUUUUAGGUAAGAACAUAUGUGUAAGUAGCUGUACACAUCGUGACGGUACCUAAUCAGAAAGCCCCGGCUAACUACGUG
rnacentral:rRNA from 1 species